UACGGAGGGGACUAGCGUUGUUCGGAAUUACUGGGCGUAAAGCGCACGUAGGCGGAUUUGUAAGUCAGGGGUGAAAUCCCGGGGCUCAACCUCGGAACUGCCUUUGAUACUGCAAAUCUCGAGUCCGGAAGAGGUGAGUGGAAUUCCUAGUGUAGAGGUGAAAUUCGUAGAUAUUAGGAAGAACACCAGUGGCGAAGGCGGCUCACUGGUCCGGUACUGACGCUGAGGUGCGAAAGCGUGGGGAGCACACAGG
rnacentral:rRNA from 1 species